rnacentral:snRNA from 1 species
GUGCUUGCUUCAGCAGCACAUAUACUAAAAUUGGAAUGAUACAGAGAAGAUUAUCAUGGUCCCUGCGCAAGGAUGACAUGCAAAUUCAUGAAGCAUUCCACGUUUUU